rnacentral:lncRNA from 1 species
ACUUGGGGGUCCCCAUGGGGUUUUUGGGGUGGGCUUGGGGGUUAUUGCGUUCAUUUUGGGGGGUCUCGGGGUUGGAGGGGGCUUUUGGGGGGGGCUGUACCCCAAAGUGAGGGAUUUUUGGGGUCCCCUGUGGAUCUCAUGGGAAGGAUUUGGGGGUCCUCAUGGGGUUUGGGGCAUGGGUUUGGGGGUCAUUGUCUUUUUGGGGGUCUUGGAAGAGGUUAAAGGGGAGAGUUGGGGAGGAUCUGUUUUUUUGGGGGGGCUGUACCCCCGAAUUGGAGGGAUUUGGGUCCUCAUGGCUCUCAGGAUGAGAUUUUGGGGUUGGGGGUCAUCAUGUCCUUUUUGGAGUCUUGGAAGGGGCUGGAGGGGUGAAAUGGGGGGAGCUGGGGAUUUGGGGGUGGGGCUGUACCCCCCAAAUUAAUGGGGUCUCCUCCCCCCCACACACACCCCCCUAGAUCUUGGUAGACACGCGGGCGCUGCAGAAGGAGAUCAAUGCGCUGGUGGGGAAACUGGAGCGGACGUUCAGCGUCACCGACGAGCUGCUCUUCAAGGUUUGGGGGGGCUGGGGGGGGUCCUGAAGGGUUUGGGGGGGUCCUGAGGGGUUUGGGGGGUCGUGGUAAGGGAGUAUAGGGAGCUCUGGGGAAUUUGAGGGGGGGUUUUGGGGGGGCUCAAACUCUGCAUGGGUACAGUUGGGGUAUCCCAGAGUCCCAAAUCCUGUAAGGAAGGGGAUCCCGGAGCCCCCCGACCUAUGGGGGACCCCAAAACUCAGCCCAAAGGGGACCCCAGAGCGCCUGGGACCCCCAAACCUACCAGAGAGAGACCCAGGGACCCCAACCCACACAGGUCCCCAAAACCCAACACAGACCAGGCGACCCCAAAACCCAUCCCAGAGGGGACCCCAAAGUCCCAUCACAGAGAGACUGGGGUACCCCAAAACCCACCAAAAUGGGACCCAGGGACCCCCAAACCCAUUGGAAUGUGACUCAGGGACCCCAAUCUCUCCCCCCCCCCCCCCAAAUUUUGCCUCUCCCCAGGAUGCCAAGCGGGAUGAGGUGGUGAGGAAGGCCUACAAGUACCUGGCAGCACUGCACGAGGUAAUGGGGGCGGGGGUCUAAUUCUGGGGGGGGGUGGGAGCUG